rnacentral:rRNA from 1 species
AUUGAACGCUGGCGGCAUGCCUUACACAUGCAAGUCGAACGGUAACAGGCCGCAAGGUGCUGACGAGUGGCGAACGGGUGAGUAAUGCAUCGGAACGUGCCCAGUCGUGGGGGAUAACUGCUCGAGAGAGCAGCUAAUACCGCAUACGACCUGAGGGUGAAAGCGGGGGACCGUAAGGCCUCGCGCGAUUGGAGCGGCCGAUGUCAGAUUAGAUAGUUGGUGGGGUAAAGGCCUACCAAGGCAACGAUCUGUAGUUGGUCUGAGAGGACGACCAGCCACACUGGGACUGAGACACGGCCCAGACUCCUACGGGAGGCAGAAGUGGGGAAUUUUGGACAAUGGGCGCAAGCCUGAUCCAGCAAUGCCGCGUGCAGGAAGAAGGCCUUCGGGUUGUAAACUGCUUUUGUCAGGGAAGAAAUCUUCUGGGCUAAUACCCCGGGAGGAUGACGGUACCUGAAGAAUAAGCACCGGCUAACUACGUGCCAGCCGCCGCAGUAAGAC